rnacentral:rRNA from 1 species
UACAGAGGGUGCAAGCGUUAAUCGGAGUUACUGGGCGUAAAGGGCGCGUAGGUGGUUAUAUAAGUUAGAUGUGAAAUCCCUGGGCUUAACCUAGGAACUGCAUCUAAAACUAUAUGACUGGAGUACUGUAGAGGGUAGUGGAAUUUCCGGUGUAGCGGUGAAAUGCGUAGAGAUCGGAAGGAACAUCAGUGGCGAAGGCGGCUACCUGGACAGAUACUGACACUGAGGCGCGAAAGCGUGGGGAGCAAACAGG